GCGCGAUGAUUUUCGGUGAUUAUCCGGCGGAGUACAACCCGAAGAUCCACGGACCCAUAA
rfam:Aedes aegypti strain Liverpool supercont1.380 genomic scaffold, whole genome shotgun sequence.